UAUUACAACUUUCAACAACGGAUCUCUUGGUUCUGGCAUCGAUGAAGAACGCAGCGAAAUGCGAUACGUAGUGUGAAUUGCAGAAUUCAGUGAAUCAUCGAAUCUUUGAACGCACAUUGCGCCCUUUGGUAUUCCAAAGGGCAUGCCUGUUCGAGCG
rnacentral:rRNA from 1 species